rnacentral:rRNA from 1 species
CCUACGGGGGGCUGCAGUGGGGAAUAUUGGACAAUGGGCGCAAGCCUGAUCCAGCAAUGCCGCGUGUGUGAAGAAGGCCUGCGGGUUGUAAAGCACUUUAAGCAGGAAAGAAGGGGUGAAAGUUAAUACCUUUCAUCAUUGACGUUACCUGCAGAAUACGCACCGGCUAACUCCGUGCCAGCAGCCGCGGUAAUACGGAGGGUGCGAGCGUUAAUCGGACUUACUGGGCGCGGUGCGCGCGGUCCCUGGUGAAAGCCCUGGGCUUAACCUGGGAACUGCGGUGGAUACUGGCGGGCUAGAGUGUGGUAGAGGGGAGUGGAAUUUCCGGUGUAGCAGUGAAAUGCGUAGAGAUCGGAAGGAACACCAGUGGCGAAGGCGGCUCCCUGGACUAACACUGACGCUGAGGUGCGAAAGCGUGGGGAGCAAACAGGAUUAGAUACCCCUGUAGUC